UACGUAGGUGGCGAGCGUUGUCCGGAAUUACUGGGUGUAAAGGGCGUGUAGGCGGGGCUGCAAGUCAGAUGUGAAAUACCAGGGCUCAACCGUGGGGGUGCAUCUGAAACUGCAGUUCUUGAGUGCUGGAGAGGGAAGCGGAAUUCCUAGUGUAGCGGUGAAAUGCGUAGAUAUUAGGAGGAACACCAGUGGCGAAGGCGGCUUUCUGGACAGUAACUGACGCUGAGGCGCGAAAGCGUGGGGAGCAAACAGG
rnacentral:rRNA from 1 species